CCUAUUUUGUAUACUACUCAUACUUCACACCAGUAAUCAAAGUAUGGGCGAACAAUAGCAGUAUAUAUAUCGAAGUGUGUGUAUCUUUGUCAACGAAAGGUUUGACUCGACGAAUAGCAGAGAUUCCUGCAGUUAUUUUUUUGCAAAUAUUUUCGGAAUUACUUUUUCAAGACAAAUGCUGGUCAACUAUUACUCCAAGAGUUUUGCAUUCGCAAUAACUCGUUUAAUUUGCUUAUUUUCAAUGAAAACAUUUAAACGUGAAUCAGAAUUUUUUUAAUCAUUGCCUUUGAACCAAUUAACAUAAAUUCUGUCUUAGCUACAUUUAGACUAAGUUUAUUGGAAAUUAACCAUUUUGUGAGGUUUUCCAAAUCAGAAUUUACUGCAGUUUCAAGGUCAAUUAUAGAAUCUCCCGAUGCUGUCAGAUUUGUGUCGUCAGCAAAACAAUCGAGGUUUUGUUUUGUUUAGACACUGAGGUAAAUCAUUUAUAUAUAACACUGGAUGUUUUAUUAGUUUUUGCCAGGAUUGUAGGUACAGUUCUUGUUUUAGGCUAAAAAGUUCAAUUCGGAAUUCAAAAGAUGGACUUAUAAGCAGGGUUAAGGAUAUACGUCGAAAAAUGGCGACAGAUUAUGAUCUUUGGCCCUGUUACGGGCCUAAUAACUUCGUUCAAAAGUCAGCUGAAUGAAGUAAACAAAUGUUGACUUUAAAUUAUAAAAGACGUGGUUUAGUCCAGACUAAGGCAAUGCAAUAACACAAUCAGCCAGUUAAUCUCUUAAAAUACCAGGUUCUCUAUACACUUUCUACUUUAUGCUGUAUCAUCACUAUUGACAUGGUCACGGCGUGUAUAAUGACCAUUAGUAUAAACUCACUAGCUGUCUAUUACAAAUCCGGCGUUCUGAUUGGCUGAGCUACUAAUAGUCUAUUAGUGAUAGACCACUAGUAGCAACAAGCAGCGAAGGGCGCGAUAGUCAAUGGCCGUUUUGAAGUACUAAAAUUGAUUGAUUGAUUGAUUGAUUGAUUGAUUGAUUGAUUGAUUUGACUUUAUUUAAAGAAGGUAAACACAUGACAGUAUCCUCGAAGACACUGAUAACCUAGUGGCCAUAGGCUUAUAAAAAUGGCCUAAUUUUGGUUUUGGAUUACAAAAAAACAAAGACUCUUUGAAACUGCUGACACAUACGGUAAAUAUUUGUCUGAAAGUGACAGACGAUUUGUUUAAUAUAUGCCCUAUAUAAAGUUUGUUUGUUCACUGCAACCAGUUAUAUCAAUCAUGUUUUGCUCGCUAAUCUGGUUUAAAUAAAUUAUUACAAAGCCCAGUCGAAUUGUAAUCAGGACCCAGCGCUUCGACACUCCAGUCUAGUGUCUUCAUCGGGGGUGAUCUAAAGUUGCAAUCAUGACUUCUUAAUACCCAAGGGAUGCAUGAGGUCACCUGCCAAUGAGAUGCCUGUAUUCCACUGGCAAAUAGGCACCGUCAUUCCUAUUCAAAGCAUGAUUACUCAUAUUUAUAUGCAACGAUUCUAGGCAUAGUCUUUGACCAUAGCGAUUGUUGUGGUAAUUACUUUAGAGUUUUCCCACGCAAUCUCAUGUUUGGUGUCACACACAUGUUCUGCUAAAGCUGAUUUUCCCAUGUUAAAAGUUGAAACAGCCUUUUGAUGUUCUUUUAACCGUGUACCAAACUGGCGUUUAGACUGAUCCAAAUACCCUUUCCCGCAGUCACCGCAUGGUAUAGAAUAUACAGCAUGAGUUUUCUGAUUUGUUUUAACAGGAUCUUUUGGUUUUGCGAAAAUAUGGCCUAAAGUCAAAGGCAGUCUCAAUAUUACUAUUACUUAAAGAUUCUCCAGAUUGGUUCUGUGACACCUCGAAUGAAUGGAACUAUUGCAUAACCAUAAGCAGAGGUAUUACUCUCGGAGAUAUUUUGGUUCCUACAAACAGGUGAUCA